rnacentral:rRNA from 1 species
UACAGAGGCCCCAAGCGUUACUGAGAAUCACUGGGUUAAAGGGUGCGUAGGUGGUCCGUUAAGUUCGUUGUGAAAUCCCAUGGGCCUCAACCCGAGGAAAUGCUUCGAAUACUGGCGGACUUGAGGCUAGUAGAGGUCACUGGAACUGACGGUGGAGCGGUGAAAUGCGUAGAUAUCGUCAGGACGCCGAUGGUGAAGACAGGUGACUGAGCUAGUUCUGACACUGAGGCACGAAAGCGUGGGGGAGCGAACGGG